CACGUAGGGUGCGAGCGUUGUCCGGAAUUAUUGGGCGUAAAGAGCUCGUAGGCGGUGUGUCGCGUCGGCCGUGAAAACCUGCAGCUUAACUGUGGGCUUGCGGUCGAUACGGGGCAUCACUGGAGUUCGGCAGGGGAGACUGGAAUUCCUGGUGUAGCGGUGAAAUGCGCAGAUAUCAGGAGGAACACCAAUUGCGAAGGCAGCUCGCUGGGACGUUAACUGACGCUGGAGACGCGAAAGCGUGGGGAGCAAACAGG
rnacentral:rRNA from 1 species